rnacentral:rRNA from 1 species
GUGGGGAAUCUUCCGCAAUGGACGAAAGUCUGACGGAGCAACGCCGCGUGAGUGAAGAAGGUUUUCGGAUCGUAAAGCUCUUUCGUUAGGGACGAACGUGCUCUUUGUGAAUAAUGAGGAGUAAUGACGGUACCUAAAUAAGAAGCCACGGCUAACUACGUGCCAGCAGCCGCGGUAAUACGUAGGUGGCAAGCGUGGUCCGGAAUUAUUGGGCGUAAAGCGCGCGCAGGCGGGAUAUCAAGUCUGUCUUAAAAGUGCGAGGCUCAACCUCGUGAGGGGACAGAAACUGGUAUUCUUGAGUGUCGGAGAGGAAAGUGGAAUUCCAAGUGUAGCGGUGAAAUGCGUAGAGAUUUGGAAGAACACCAGUGGCGAAGGCGACUUUCUGGACGAUGUCUGACGCUGAGGCGCGAAAGCUAGGGGAGCGAACGGGAUUAGAAACCCGAGUAGUCC